rnacentral:rRNA from 1 species
CGUACACUCCUACGGGAGGCAGCAGUGGGGAAUAUUGGACAAUGGGCGCAAGCCUGAUCCAGCCAUGCCGCGUGAGUGAUGAAGGCCCUAGGGUUGUAAAGCUCUUUCACCGGUGAAGAUAAUGACGGUAACCGGAGAAGAAGCCCCGGCUAACUUCGUGCCAGCAGCCGCGGUAAUACGAAGGGGGCUAGCGUUGUUCGGAUUUACUGGGCGUAAAGCUCACGUAGGCGGACUAUUAAGUCAGGGGUGAAAUCCCGGGGCUCAACCCCGGAACUGCCUUUGAUACUGGUAGUCUUGAGUUCGAGAGAGGUGAGUGGAAUUCCGAGUGUAGAGGUGAAAUUCGUAGAUAUUCGGAGGAACACCAGUGGCGAAGGCGGCUCACUGGCUCGAUACUGACGCUGAGGUGCGAAAGCGUGGGGAGCAAACAGGAUUAGAAACCCUAGUAGUCCCAUGA